AGAUGUGAAGGUGAUCUGACUGUAACAUGUCACCCUUUUUAUUGCCAAGGGUAAUUUAGCUGACCUGGUUGACUAGGUUGAUGUUCUUUUCUUCCUCACCUCUUUCUUUGUGUACACACCUGCUUUUCUCUGCUACUA
rnacentral:snRNA from 1 species